CUGUAUGUUCCAAGAAAAAACAAAUUAAUAUACUAUUGAUAUACCCCACCAAACGACAUACAUACAAGCUUACUUUUUUAAUCAAAUGUUCCCUCCUCCCCACCCUCACGUAAAAAAUAACCAACAUGUGCAUGAUUUGAUUUGCAGCAGGCCAAGUUUACGAGCAUAUAUUCCAUCUACGCCAGGGACUUACAACCUUACGACUUUUCAAGGUGCGCCAGAGGGUUGCAUCCUGUUCUGCAAAUCAUGUUCUGCUAAAUUUAGAUAUAUGUAUUUAUAUAGCCAAAACGAAAUAGUAAAUGUUGAAAUUCCC
rnacentral:lncRNA from 1 species